rnacentral:lncRNA from 1 species
AAAGAAAAGAAGAAGGAAUUACAUACCUUGUGGCGUGAGCAAUAAUGCGCCCGGCACUCUUCACAUUUAUUUUUCAUUAACCUUUCUUAAUUAGCGAAAAGCCAUGAUUACGCCUCAAGUUGACUGCGCCUACCACUACCAAAAUAUUUCAAGAAGGAAAAAGACUGCAUGUGAUUUCUCGCGCACAAAAGGACGUUUGACCAUCGUGCGCGGCGACUUCGCGCUCAUCGGAUGCUGAAGCCUUGGUGCCUUGGUGCUCUCAGUCGCUACUCGCCAUGUGUUUGGUUAUGGACAGUGUCGAUUAUUGCCUGAAAAGAAUUCUGAGUGUAAUGGUAACUCUAGUUUUAAUUGCGCUGUUAUACGUCUUCGUUUUCAAGCCGGCAAUUGAAUCUUCAGACGACGACCCACCCCAGGCAUUCAUCAAAGCCUGGAAGAAAGCGUUGAAGACCAUCAAAAAAGAGUCUGAGCAACUGAUGGACAGCAAACAAUUUCGAAACUGACAGUUCAAAAUUCUCUGGUACUAGCACGUGACCAUCGUGAAUUACGCGUGCCGAAGUUACGUACUCAACAUGUGUGACACGUCGGAACAAGAUGUUGGCAGCAUAGGAAGUGAUUCUACAGCACCUUUUUAUCAAUAAUAAUUGAAAAUAUGACAUUUCAAAUAUAGGCCAUAUAACGCUACUGUGUGCCAAAUUAUGUUUAAAGAUUGGCGAAGAGAAGAAAUGUGUUAGUAAUCUUGGAGGCUCAGGCAAAUAGACAUUAAUAUUAGAUUAAGCCGCCAGACGUCGCUACAUGUUCACUUGUUGAUUGAAACGGUUACACUCAAAAUGCGCUACCUUGACCUUGUAAAUAAAGACAUAAUCAAACUACAAUAAAAAAACUUUGUGAGCUGAUAUUUUAUAAACGUUAAGUAUCAAAAAUACGCAGAAAGCUUUAUAACUAAACGUUUACUUUGACACAUUUUGCGUGUGGUCCCUGCGCAAUAGUAGGGUCGAAAGUAUGGGCUAUAUAUAUGCAAACGAACUGCUUCCACUUGUACUUCCAAAGUACAUAUACUAAAAUUGGAACGAUACAGAGAAGAUUAGCAUGGCCCCUGCGCAAGGAUGACACGCAAAAUCGUGAAGCGUUCCACAUUUUU